GAUGAGGACGCUGCAGACGCUUCGACUAUAAUAGGAAUUCCUCUAAAGACGUCGCACGUGAAAUUUGUUCUUCACAAGGAAUGUCUGUUUGGUCAACGGUUUCUUCUCGUUGGCGAUGACCCGAAUAUCAGUUCUUGGGAUCCAUCAAAAGCCAUUCCUUUGGAAUGGUCUGAUGGCCAUGUGUGGACAACUGAGCUGGUUUCAGACGCAUCUAGCGCUCGUAAUAUGCAUCAAUAAUCUCGUUGCCCUUCAGGUUCAACAUCUUAAUUGCCAAGUUCACUAAGACUGGAUCUGAUAUGAUAUUAUUAGUUUUUAUUUUUAUUUCUCUUUCUCUUGGGUUAAAAAGCUAGAAAUUGUUGUUACUGUGAUUUAUGACUAAAUACUCAUUUAAAGAUAUAUGGAUAGUACUUUGAGACAUUUUGGUAUUAAUUA